ACGUUGACAAACGAAAAAAAAAAAACCCGGGACCAAGAACUACACCUAGCUGUAACUUGAUGUAGUGAGGCCACAAACACUGCGGAAAGGUCAUUUUGUACAGUCAAUAGGCCAUUGAUGUGGGAACAAUGAACUUAGCCAGGUUGUGAAGCCGAGAGCCAGGGUAUGAUUAAAGGGAUAACCUUUGUAAGGCGCUCACAAAGCAAGCCAUUAUUAGUAUUAUUAGGCCCGGGGCAAAACCUGGGAAGAAACAAAAGAUUAUAAAAGGGUCAGAGAGAAGCUUGGGCCUGAGUUUAGGAUUAAAGGUAGUUACUCGGAUAAAGCUACGGCGGUUUACACUUCAUCGGCCAAUUUCUUUCCUAAACAUAGUAAAGAUUCUCAAAAUGAGCCGCGUGGGCCCGAGGGCAGCUGUCACCAACUCACUGUUUGACCUUGGGAAAGUCAGUUUCUUUCUGUGGGCCUCAGUUUCCCCAUAUGGAAAAUGAGAGGGUUGGGGAUCUACGACGUAGCCAAGGUCCCUUCCAGCUCGCAGGACAGACUCUAUGAUUCACCUGCCCAAUCUAGAAAGAAAUCGUCGCCUUGCCGCAGCUCCCCACCCAUAUAGCCCGACAGACUGGAAGGCUUUCUCCACACCUCCGCACCGAGUCGGCGUCGUUUUACCCCCAGGGCGGGGCGGGACUAGGGAGUUCAGCAACCCGCCGCCUGGCCAAAGCAGGCCGGUGGGGGGGGGGGGGGAGUCUGCGCCAACCUAGCACCACGGCGUGAGCCUUCUACUUGGCGCUGCUAAGGGAGCCUGAAUGGGUCAUGCCCACCCUACGGGGCAAGAGCCCACGAACGACGAAGGGAAGGAGCAAGGCUAGCUGGGGACCGUCGAUGACUAAUGCCAUAAACCCACAUAGGCGGCUGUAGCCACUGCAGCGACUACGACUCCCUAAGCUUAAGGCAAACGCCCUGGUACUAGCCGAAGAGGCAGCGCGCAUGCGUCUUGUGCUUUCUUCGGCCCCUCCCCCCGCUCAGCCUGAGUUACGCCCAUGCGCAAACCCUCUGGCGAUGGGCUGACGCUACCGGCGUGAGACGAGCCUCACACCAAUCUAGUUUCUCCCUCUCGUCACCCACGGUGUCUCGCGCCCGGCGAUCCCCUUCCCAGGGUCCUUUGCGCCGUGAAGAAGCGGCUUCUGUGGGCUGGGGGCAUUUUGUGUCGGCUGUAGCCAGGAGAACAAGAUGGCGGAUUCGACGGAGUAACCUCGGUGUUAGCGGGCGGGACCCGGCAGCAGGUGGGCCAUCCCCACUCACUGCGCCUCUUUCGGCUCAAGACGUCGUCCCGAAACUGCAGGGGGCGCGACUUUUAGCUGGCGGAGGGUGCCCGAGAGAAGCUGCCUAGCCUGGCCCCACGACCCUCCCGGGAGCCUGAGGAGGCAGAAGCCCGAAUUUCGCGCGGCGGCAGCAGCAGCAGCAGCAACAGGACACCCCCGGGACUCCGUAGCGUCGUCUUCCCCCAGAGAGUCUCUUUUCUUAAUAUUUUUUUUUUUUAAAAAAAGAACAACUUGAGUGCCCCCAACUUCGGUCACCGAAAGCUCGCGACUGGUGGGUGAGACCCGCCCGGUUCCUUUUCCUUCCCCCUUGGUUCCGGGACUCCCAGGUCCCGGUCUCUUCCCUCCCGCCGCCAGGAUGGCGAGCAGCAGCGGCACCAAGAACGAAUUCAUUGUCGGAGGGAAAUAUAAACUGGUGCGGAAGAUCGGGUCCGGUUCCUUUGGGGACAUCUACCUGGCCAUCAACGUCACCAACGGCGAGGAAGUGGCAGUGAAGCUAGAAUCUCAGAAGGCCAGGCAUCCUCAGUUGCUGUAUGAGAGCAAACUCUAUAAGAUUCUUCAAGGUGGGGUGGGCAUUCCCCACAUACGGUGGUAUGGUCAAGAAAAAGACUAUAAUGUUCUAGUCAUGGAUCUUCUUGGACCCAGUCUUGAAGACCUCUUCAAUUUCUGUUCUCGCAGGUUCACAAUGAAAACAGUACUUAUGUUAGCUGACCAGAUGAUCAGUAGAAUUGAAUUUGUGCAUACAAAGAAUUUUAUACACAGAGACAUUAAACCUGAUAAUUUCCUAAUGGGUAUUGGGCGUCACUGUAAUAAGUGUUUAGAAUCUCCAGUGGGGAAGAGGAAAAGAAGCAUGACUGUUAGUACUUCUCAGGACCCAUCUUUCUCAGGAUUAAACCAGUUAUUCCUUAUUGACUUUGGUUUGGCCAAAAAGUACAGAGACAACAGAACAAGACAACAUAUACCAUACAGAGAAGAUAAAAAUCUCACUGGCACUGCCCGAUAUGCCAGUAUCAAUGCACACCUUGGCAUUGAGCAGAGUCGUCGUGAUGAUAUGGAGUCUCUAGGAUAUGUGUUGAUGUAUUUUAACAGGACCAGCCUGCCCUGGCAAGGAUUAAAGGCUGCAACAAAGAAACAAAAAUAUGAAAAGAUUAGUGAAAAGAAGAUGUCCACUCCUGUUGAAGUUUUAUGUAAGGGAUUUCCUGCAGAAUUUGCCAUGUAUCUAAACUAUUGUCGUGGACUACGCUUUGAAGAAGCACCAGAUUAUAUGUAUCUGAGGCAACUAUUUCGUAUUCUUUUCAGGACUCUGAACCACCAGUAUGACUACACAUUUGAUUGGACAAUGUUAAAGCAGAAAGCAGCCCAGCAGGCAGCUUCUUCCAGUGGGCAGGGUCAGCAGGCCCAAACCCCCACAGGCAAGCAAACUGACAAAACCAAGAGUAACAUGAAAGGUUUGGGAGAAACUUCAAAGUAGAAAAAUAGCCAGAUGCAUACCACUGACUUAUGGACUAUCACCUUAACUUCAAGCUCUGGUUUUACUGUUUCCAGGAGGAAAAGGAUUUAGCCCUUAGUUUAGCUGAAGUUUCCGUGAAGAUGGCAUCUUUAAGCGACCUUUAUCUUUUGGAAGCCAGGAGGUUGCUGGCUUCAUCUGGACUGAAAGAUAAAAGCCAAGGAAUAAAGGAUUAUGCUAACUGGAAAAAGAAUUCAAGAGAGUAUUUAAUGCUUGAAGAUGAGAUGCAAAGCCCAAAUGUUAUAUAUAUGGUUUCUAAACAUGAAGAGGAACAGAUGAAGCAGAGCAGAUGAUCAGAGCAGGACUUGUUACUCCCCAAAUCUAGAAAUUUUAGUUCAUAUGUACACUUAUCAGUGGUUGUGGGCAACCAUUUACUUGGUGUAAAGAACUGAAUUUCAGUAUAAACUGGCUCUGGUCAGCGUUGGUGAUGCUGCAUCCUGAGUUGUAGCCGCUGUAAUUGUGAAUAUUAACUGAGAUAGUGAAACAUGGUGUCCAGUUUUCUAUUGCAUUUUUUCAAGUGGAAAAGUUAACUAAAUGGUUGACAGACAAGUGGUGGAGAAAUUGUGCAUAUGCCAAUUUUUUGUUACCUUUUAUUUUGAACUACACUGCUUUCAGAAGAAUGGCAUGAACAGUUUUCAACCACAGUUGUGAUAAUUGUAAAUGUUCACAAUUGUGUACUCUUAGGGUUUUUUCCCUUUCUGGGGUUUGAAAGUUGUAAACUUACACAUUCUUUAAAUUGUUGGCUUUUGUGUGCAAGCCAACUUGACAUGGUAGCAACCAAAGAUUCCAGUUUUAAGCAUAUGAAAGACUCUGCCUGCUUAUUGUGCUAGAAUUAACAGCAUCUAAAAGUGAAGAUUUAAGAAAAACUUAGUGACUACUAGAUUAUCUUUAGGACUCUGAAUUAAAUAUAAUGUUCUUGGUAUAAAAAUGAAAAACAACAUAUUCGUCACAGAAAUUUAGAUAACAUCUUACAACUAAACCUGUAUGUAAGUUGCUUAGAUCAAUGUAAUCACUGUAAAAUCUAUGACCUGGGAUUUUGUUUUUAUUUUGAAAUGGGAGCUUUUUUUUUUGUUUACAAGUUCAUUAAAAACUAAAAAUUGUUUCUGUGAAGAGAAGAGAUUUUUUUUUAAGGCAUGCCUUGCUAAUUCAUUUAUAGAAUCAAUAUCUCCCCAAUUUUUUUUAAUAGACUACUUGAUGGCCAUUAAGUCAUAUUCCUUUGCAAAUCAUUUUAGAUUUAGCAUUGUACCUCUUCCCCCCCCCCCCCUUUUUUUUAAAAAUAAAUUUUGUAUUUUUUUUCCUCAAGGGAGGAGAAGGCCUUUUUUUUUUUUAAGUUCUUGCAUCAAUGCCUAGUAGUGCAACUGCAAGACCUGGUAUUGGUAGCUCUAGUGUUGCCAUUGACUAAACAGCUGGACUGAUUUGUGUUCUUUUGAAAUGGAAGUGUUAAAGGGUUUUGCAAUGCAGGAAAUUUUCUUUCAAAUUCUUGUGAAGUGGCUAUGACCAGAUUGUUUCUUGUUCUUAGAUUGCCUCACACUGUGGUGUUCUUAUGAUUACUAUCCAGCCCUUUAAGGCAGCCUGUGUGAGUGUUUUUUCCAGCUUAUUUGCGCGUUUUCUUUUUCUCUAUCUCUGACCCAGUGGAAAGGAAAAAAAAUACUGAUUGCUGGUAAUCCUUUAAACAGUGUAAUUUAUUCAUUUAUAGCAUGUCAGAAUAAAUUAAAAAAAAACAUUGUCUGAAAAUGCUACCAGAUGCCUAUGUGUAAAUGUGGUGUUUUGUACAUUAACUUUAAGACUGUAAAUUUACACGUUAAGGUUUAGUUAUUUUGUGCCCUUUAAUUCCAGUAUAGUUUUUUUUUUAACUGCCUUAGCAAUAAUUUCAUGAUUGCCACAUUCAGCCAUUAAGGUAUAUAUAUCAGACCUUCAAUACUACAAACAUCUUAAUAAAUGCGCUUUUGGGGGUAGUCAGCUUAUUGUAAUGUUUCUUUUUUUCUCUAGCCUUUCUGGCUUGUUAAGGUGUUAGUUGCUUUAUUAAUAAACCCUUUGAUAUUUUAGCUAGAAAUCAGUCUCGUAAAGCUAUUUUAAAGUAUGGUUUCAGUUAUUAAGAAAAAGAAGAAAAAGAAAGAAAAAAGUUUCGCUUGGUUAAAGGUUUUGCCAAGUUGAGCUUCCUCUGGCAAAUAUUUUCCAGUGCUUUCAUUUACUAUGCACUUAGACUAUGCACUUUUUUCUGAGAUAUUUUUGUAACACUUAAACCUUUUUGUAUUUUUGCCAUUUAAAAAGGUUGUGGUGUAGUGUUUGUAAUUAAGUUACAGAUAUAAGACUGUUUAGCUUUGUAAAUCAAAAUGUAGGUAUUUGUCCUGAGUGUAUUGUCAUUCCAUCUGCAGCUGGAGCUGGAAUCCCAUUCAUCUACUAGCUACCAUUCCUUUUCUUCACAGUUUGACAAAAGAAGAAUUUGAAAUUCAGUGAAUGUACUAACAAAUGCUGACUGGAGAGGAAUCUCAUUUGAACAAAAUGUAAAUUAUACUUUUCCACUAAAAUGAUGGUACAAGUUGAAGACAAGACACUGAAAUUGGACAACCUGACCACUUAUGGCUCCACAAUGGUUUACUCAGCUGAACUCUAGGUUAUUCCUACUUUGUUUCACCCAUUGGAGGUGCUGUUUAAAAAAUGUUGGGAGGUGGCCAUUCUAACUAUUGUUUGAAUGUCUCUGUUUGGUUAGAAAUAACAAGCAAAUAAAAGUCGAGGGAGAGACUGGUUAUCUCUUCCCCAUAUUAUUGUGGA